UAGCUGCCAGCCGGGUUAAACCACAACAGUAACGGACAGGAGGCAAAGGACAGCUCACGUCUGCAUUUUAGUUUCCUAUUUGGGGAACGCUAACAGAGAUAAUGGAAAAGCUGACUGGAUUCACAAAAAAUAUAGAGAGAAGAACCAGAGGAGACUUCUGAGAACAGUAAAUUUUGUGCAGUUAGGGCUGGAUACAAGUGUCCACUGGUAAGCAGUUAUCGCUUAUUUAAAUAUAUUAUGUUGUCCUCUCAGGAUAAAAGGAUAGGCAGA
rnacentral:lncRNA from 1 species